rnacentral:lncRNA from 1 species
CAUCAAAGGUUGGAUGGAACCAUUAUGAUAGAAUCAGGGUAAGUUUCUUAUAUCUUGUUUAUGACCUAUCCUACAUUCAUUCUCUCUAGUUAGUUGUGGUAUUACUUCACAUUUGAAAUCAAUGAAACAACAUAUAGCAGUUGAUCGUUAUUUCUUGUUAAAUAAUUUCUUUGACUUCAUUUUCAUGUAUUGUUUACCAAUAUAAAAUUUUAAUUUUCUACUCCAAGUAUCACAUGUAGUUCCUUUUCUUUGUGAUUAGCCCUUAUUCAUGUAACAAUGAGCUCCGACUCUUUUUUCUGCAGUUUUUAUGAGAUGAGUUUUCAUACUCGUUCCUGCAAUUAGAAUUGAAGUCUUAAUUUUUUGUUAGAAUAUCUGACUAUCAAUGGUAGCUUCUCCCUUAUUUGUGAUAACCACAGAAUCUUGAAAAUAAGAGAGCUCAAGAAACAUAUGAGAGGAGAAGAUAGUUAGCAAAACAAAUAGUACAAGCGCCAGGGAUGCCAUUUUAAAGUAACAAUUUUUUCUUCGUUUUAUAUUUGAAUAUAUAUUUUGCUAAUAUUUGUUCUUGAAAUUGUUGAGAACUCAUAGAAACAGAUAGUAUGAACUACGCGAAAUAGGUUCUUUGUAUUGCUAGUAAUUGCAACCGUAUGUUUAGAAAAGGUAAAAAUCAAUGUGUUGUUAGUGGUCUUUAUAUCUCUUUACGCUAGUCUUAACGAUCAGUCCAUUUUUCUUAAACUAUCUUGUGUAGGAAGAUUCCUGUUUUAAUUUGGUUGAAAUUACUAUACUUGAACUGCAAAAUAUUGUUGUUUGAUUACCAACUGGUUGGAGGCAUUAGGGACUUUUGAAAUGGCAUCUUAGGCAAUCCUAAUUCCAAAGAUAGUAAUCGAACCUUAAGUAUGUAGAUUAUUUUGAACGAGAAGAUAUUUAGUCUACUCCACACAUCCAAAUUUUAAUACCUUGAUAGUACUCCAGCUCCUUCACCACCAAAAGAGACUAUUAAUAACAUUUCUUUAGAUCCACUAUCAGAAAUUUAUUGUAGCAUCUUUUGUAAAACUUUAAGUCUUAAUCAUGUAAGAACCAUCUAAUUUUUUUGGCAGGUCCUGUGAAUUUGAUAUUGAGAAAAGAAUUUGAAAGUUCUUAUAAGAGAAGAGAUAGAGGUAGAAAUAAUUGAUUUUAUUUUUUCUAGUGAACUUCAGGAAAUGUGUGUUCCUAUUUCUAUUAAUAAGGACUUAAUUUAUUUUGAGUUUAGCUGUAUUGCGAUGGUUUUUAGGAAAAAAUUAUAUAUUUAUUUUCAUCAUUAAUUUUACUAGGUGUGAAUUAUGUGGAUAUAACAUAGAAAUGUAAGGAAAGAUUACUAUAUAUACUAGCAAUUUAUCUGUAAAUAUUUGUGUGACACAAUCUUUGGUCUCUAUUUUCGUGUGCCUCUUUAAUAGCAAGCAGAGAGAAGAAUCUUGAAACUGGAGUAAAAAUAUCACUUUUGCAUCCUUGUCAGGUCUUUGGCUUUUGCAUAUUUCUCUGGGCUUCUUUCUUUUUCUAAAAAGAAAUGUGAAUAUCUCCAUUCUAGUAGACAAAAACAGCAAGUGCUCCACAUAUUUGUGCUAUCUACUUGUUGUAUUGGUAUUGUUAAGAACAAAUAGACUUGAGAAAUCUACAAUCCCAAUAAAAAAUAUUGGAUCUUUUAGAACGCGCUCGUAUAAGGUUGUUUGGCAAAUAUUUAUUUAAAUGUCUUUGUGAAGUUGAUUCUGAGCCUAUGCUACUUUGAGAUCUUCAAGUACGCAUCUAUUUUUUUGAGAAAAAACAUUAACAACAAACUUCUUGUACAUUUGAUUUUGAUGGGAGUUUGUAGUAGCAAUUCCUUGAUACGCUAGUGUAUAUGCAUGUAAACACCCGAAAAUUAUUUUUCUGACUAUUAAUGAACUUCAUAUGUGGUUAUUUAUUUAUAUUUAUUUUAUUUGUCAUUUCAGGUCAUACAUUAUAGCGGUCAAAUCUUCGCUCAUAGCAGAUUACAUUAUGAUCAAGAGUUGGAGAAUCUUUCUAUGUCGCUUAUUGUAUGUAGCUAUUUGAUAAAAUAACUUAUUAGAUGCAAAAUGACACUAGGUGUUAUAUUUAAAUAGGUUAGCAUUUUGUUAUAU